UCAGGUGGAACGUGACACUUUUUCGUGCGUGCAGCCGGUGUUCAUCGAUUAUAAGACGUUAUCACGUUACAAAAUUAAGUUGGAUUUUUUGUAUUA